AGAAUCAACGCUGGCGGCGUGCCUCAGACAUGCAAGUCGAACGCGAAAGUCCCCUUCGGGGGACAAGUAGAGUGGCGCACGGGUGAGUAACACGUAGGUAAUCUACCUUUGGAUGGGGAAUAACCACCGGAAACGGUGGCUAAUACCGCAUAAUGCAGCGGCACCUAAUGGUGACAGUUGUUAAAGCGGGGGAUCGAAAGACCUCGCGUCUAAAGAGGAGCCUGCGGCGGAUUAGCUAGUUGGUAAGGUAAUGGCUUACCAAGGCUACGAUCC
rnacentral:rRNA from 1 species